GAACGCUGGCGGCGGCCUAACACAUGCAAGUCGAGCGGAAACGAAGAGGUGCUUGCACCUCUGGCGUCGAGCGGCGGACGGGUGAGUAAUGCUUGGGAAUAUGCCUUAUGGUGGGGGACAACAGUUGGAAACGACUGCUAAUACCGCAUGAUGUCUACGGACCAAAGUGGGGGACCUUCGGGCCUCACGCCAUAAGAUUAGCCCAAGUGGGAUUAGCUAGUUGGUGAGGUAAUGGCUCACCAAGGCGACGAUCCCUAGCUGGUUCGAGAGGAUGAUCAGCCACACUGGGACUGAGACACGGCCCAGACUCCUACGGGAGGCAGCAGUGGGGAAUAUUGCACAAUGGGCGCAAGCCUGAUGCAGCCAUGCCGUGUGUGUGAAGAAGGCCUUCGGGUUGUAAAGCACUUUCAGUAAGGAGGAAAGGUUAAGAGUUAAUAGCACUUAGCUGUGACGUUACUUACAGAAGAAGCACCGGCUAACUCCGUGCCAGCAGCCGCGGUAAUACGGAGGGUGCGAGCGU
rnacentral:rRNA from 1 species